AACGAACGCUGGCGGCGUGCCUAACACAUGCAAGUCGAGCGGGAAAGUUUCCUUCGGGAAGCGAGUAUAGCGGCGAACGGGUGAGUAACACGUAGGUAACCUGCCCUUUAGUCUGGGAUAACUCGCCGAAAGGCGGGCUAAUACCGGAUAAGACCACGAGAUCUGCGGAUCAUGUGGUAAAAGAUGGCCUCUUCUUGAAAGCUAUCACUAGGGGAUGGGCCUGCGCGCCAUUAGCUUGUUGGUGAGGUAACGGCUCACCAAGGCUGCGAUGGCUAGCUGGUCUGAGAGGAUGACCAGCCACACUGGGACUGAGACACGGCCCAG
rnacentral:rRNA from 1 species